rnacentral:rRNA from 1 species
GUACUCCUAGCAGCUAGCCCCCCCCCCAAAAACAACAAACACCAUUAAUAACCCCUAAUAAACCACACCCUAAAAAACAAACCAUUUUUCCUCCCUAGUAUGGGCGACAGAAAAG